rnacentral:rRNA from 1 species
UACGUAGGGUGCGAGCGUUGUCCGGAAUUACUGGGCGUAAAGAGCUCGUAGGUGGUUGUCGCGUUGUUCGUGAAAUCUCACGGCUUAACUGUGAGCGUGCGGGCGAUACGGGCAGACUAGAGUACUGCAGGGGAGACUGGAAUUCCUGGUGUAGCGGUGGAAUGCGCAGAUAUCAGGAGGACACCGAUGGCGAAGGCAGGUCUCUGGGCCAUUACUGACACUGAGAAGCGAAAGCAUGGGGAGCGAACAGG